rnacentral:lncRNA from 1 species
AGAAUAAUUGGGAGGAGUCUGGCAGGAAGGAAGCCAAGUUUCCUGAGGCCCUCACCAGAAGCUCAUCAGAAGCAGAUGCUGGCACCACUCUUCUUAUGCUGUCUGCGUAACUAAAGCACAAGCAAGAAUGUGUGAGAAGAUCACAGAGACCUAAAGAAGGGGAAGGGAAGAACCCACAUGUGAGAGAGAAGAGAUUGUCUGACUUGGUAAAUAGAUAUUGAAAACCAGAGGUCUCUUAGGGCUCCUCAUCUCAAGAAGCCAGCAGGCAAGGGAAGGACAAACCAUCCUUGCAGGAAUAAUUCGUACUGAUCAUUUGGAGGAGAUUCGGCUAGUAUAGCUGCUGUUACAUAAUGAAGAAAAGGAAGAAUAUGUUUCAAACUCAGAUGAACCACUGGGGAGUCUCUUGAUACUCUGUUGCCUAAUUUGGAUGGUUAAUGGGUAAGUGCAAUAGACACAGCCUCAGAAAGGCGUGGUAAUCAGAGACUUAAAUCCUCAGUUUCCAUAGUUAAGCUACUAAGAUCAUGAGAGGUGCUUCCUAGGAGUGAAGAGAAUCGGAAUGUCUAGGAAGGACAUCAUGAAAACUAGUUGUGCUCUUAAACCUAACUACAGUUGAUCCUCAAGGACUUGAGAGUUAGGAGCUCUGACCUCUGAGUAGGCAAAAAUUCACAUAUAACUUUUGGCUUUCCAAAACCUUAACUCAUAAUAGACUACUGUAGAGAAGGUUUACCUAUAAUGUAAACAGUUGAUUAACACAUAUGUUACGUUAUAUGCACUGUAUUCUUAUAACAAAGCAAGCUACGGAAAAGAAAAUGUUAUUAAGAAAAUCAUGAAGAAAAGAAAAUACAUUUACAGCUCAUUAAGUAGAAGUGGAUCAUCAUAAAGGCCUUCAGCCUUGUCAUCUUCAUGCUAAGUGGGCUGAGGAGGAGAAGGAAGAAGAGGAGUUGAUCUUGCUGUCUUAAAGGUGACAGAAGUGGAGGAAAAGCCACACGAAUUGGCCCUGCACAUUUCAGACCUGUGUUGUUCAAGAGUCAACAGCAGUUGCAGCAGCAGGAAUAGCUAACUUUCUCCACUAACUCCUUACAUAAAUUUCUCCAGGAAUUAAGACCAACCGGAAACCUAUUGAUGCUCUUCCCAGAUGGUUCAAACUUACCACAAAAUGCAAAUGUAAAUGGAUCUGGCUAGUUCAAGAGGGCAGUCUGCAGUGGAUGUUGUUCCUUGCUGCUUGGAGUCCCCAACUCCUAGACCCCUUUCAGGACCAAGGCACUCAUUUCCCCACUGCUGUGUGCAUUGGCUGCUGAUAGCCCACUUCUGCCUCCCUCUGGAAAUUGUCUUUGGCCAAAAGGGGCUAUCUUUCCCAAGUUGUUGACCUCUUUCCAGGGGCAACUUGCAUUCAAUAACUGGCUAAUGUUGAGGUACAAAAGCCCAGUCUAAUUGUUUCAAUUUGGGAUGAUUCUUAAGGUCCAUCCCAGCUCCACAGAUCCUUGAAGGAUCAACUGAGGUCUCUGUUGCAACUGUAUCACUGUAUCGUCUUGUUACUAAUCCCAUUUCUUUCAUGUCCUCAAGGUGUUGCGCCUUAAAGCACUAUCCAAUAAACCUCCUACAUGCAAAUCUCCAUCUCAGAAUCUGUAUCCAAGAGAUUCUACUCAAGACAUCAUCUUUUCCAGUCAGUGUUCCUAAUUGCACUGCCCCUGGAAAACGCACGGAGAAGAAAUACAGCAAAAUACAUGAGAUGGUGAAACACUCUGGCAACUGCAAGCGGACAGAUGGGAUCUGGGAGGUAAUGCAGGGUCACAGGGCAGUUACACCAGGAUAUUUGGUUCUUUCCUACUCUCCUUUCCCCACCCUCAAUGCUAUAUACAUAACUGCUAGUGAAUCAAUUUAUGUACAUAUCCCAGAUAUCUAGGACUGGUUGAGGCGGGUUAUCCAAGAGAGUCACAGUGUAUUACCAUUUUUUAUUAAGUACAACCAGACCAACAGAGAACUGAUUAACUCAACCACUGAACUUUAUGUUUUCCCCCAUCAUCUAUAGAAUUGAUUUUACUGGAUUUUGACAUGUCAGUUUAUCACUUACUUUAUCCUUCAGUGAAGGACACACUAAGGAAUGGAGUUAUUAAGCUUGUUCUACUGGCUGUGAGGAUGUUGUUGAGGGACAUUGUUCAUGACGUUAUGUUGUGUCAUUUUUAUGAGGACUCAAUGGAAGGACUUCUGUCUGAUUUCAGUACUGGAAGUAGUCAUACUUCUCCUGAGCAACCAUUUUCUUUC